rnacentral:lncRNA from 1 species
CUGUCAUAUUCCUUUUUUAAAUAUAAAUUUUAAAAAUUUACUUAUUUUUAAAUUGAAGGAUAAUUGCUUUACAGAAUUUUGUUCUUUUCUGUCAAACCUCAACAUGAAUCAGCCAUAGGUAUACAUAUAUCCCCUCCCUCUUGAAUCCUCUCCCAUCUCCCUCCCCAUCCUACCCCUCUAGGUUGAUACAGAGCCCCUGUUUGAAUUUCUGAGACAUACAGCAAAUUCCCAUUGGCUAUCUAUUUUACAACCAGUCCAUCCUAAAGGAGAUCAGUCCUGAGUGAUCAUUGAAAGGACUGAUGCUGAAGCUGAAACUCCAAUACUUUGGCCACCCGAUGCAAAAAGCUGACUCAUUUGAAAAGACUCUGAUAAUGGGAAAGAUUGAAGGCGGGAGGAAAAGGGGAUGACAGAGGAUGAGAUGGUUGGAUGGCAUCACCGACUUAAUGGAGAUGAGUUUGAGUAAACUCCGGGAGUUGGUGAUGGACAGGGAGGCAUGGUGUGCUGCAGUCCAUGGAGUCGCAAAGAGUUGGACACAACUGAGAGACUGAACUGAACUGAUCUAUUUUACACAUGGUGGCCUUCUCAUCCUCCUCCUAUCCACCCACCUCACCAUGGGUCUGCAUCCUGAAUGAACGUGUUCCUCAAAGACAGUAACUCCCACACACCAAGCGGUAUCUAGCUGUGUGGGUGAGAUAUUCUCCAGCCUCUCCAAAGCUGUGUAGAAAGUGGAGAGACUUGGUACUCACAGCCCUCAAACACCAAUUCUCCUCCUGGGACUGUGUGUGGGAAUUUUAUGUCAUUGAAGACCAGAUGACCUGCCCCUCUGAGGAGUUUUGGACUCAUGGUUCAGAGGAGGAGGAAUCGAUGAACUGGUACCCAGCUUCGCUCUUUGUUCUGAGCCCCAUCACCACCGAUGGCCCGUGAAAGUCAGGCGUUCUCACACCUGUAAAAGAAAAAGAGAAACCUCAACCACUUAGAUAUUAUCUCCAACAGUCAGAAGUAUAAUAGGAGUUAAGUUUAAUGUUUCAGAAGUGAUGGGUUAACUUGACUGUUUCUGAACGGGGUUUCUGAAUUAUAACAUUUUCUCUAUAAUGUAAGGAGAUAAACUGAGGAGAGGGGGGAACACUGGGAGCUAAGUUCAAUGAUAUUAGAGCUUGCAGAGUUUGGUGUCCAAGAGCCAUUAUGUAAAUUGCUGGUAUAUUCUGAGUGGUAGAAAGCACAAUAAGCCUCCCAUGUUGUCUUAAUUUUACUUUUUUUCAGACAUUUUUGAAAACUGAUCCUCUCAGCAAAAAUGCAAUGAGGACAAUAUAUUCUUUGUCUUCUUUUUUAAUGACAGCUUCAGAUCUAGGGAAAGCAUUUUCUAUUUAUCUCUUUUUCUAUACAUCUC